rnacentral:rRNA from 1 species
AACGAACGCUGGCGGCAGGCUUAACACAUGCAAGUCGAACGCCCCGCAAGGGGAGUGGCAGACGGGUGAGUAACGCGUGGGAACAUACCCUUUCCUGCGGAAUAGCUCUGGGAAACUGGAAUUAAUAACGCAUACGGCCUACGGGGGAAAGAUUUAUCGGGGAAGGAUUGGCCCGCGUUGGAUUAGCUAGUUGGUGGGGUAAAGGCCUACCAAGGCGACGAUCCAUAGCUGGUCUGAGAGGAUGAUCAGCCACAUUGGGACUGAGACACGGCCCAAACUCCUACGGGAGGCAGCAGUGGGGAAUAUUGGACAAUGGGCGCAAGCCUGAUCCAGCCAUGCCGCGUGAGUGAUGAAGGCCUUAGGGUUGUAAAGCUCUUUCACCGAUGAAGAUAAUGACGGUAGUCGGAGAAGAAGCCCCGGCUAACUUCGUGCCAGCAGCCGCAGUAACAC